AACGAACGCUGGCGGCAUGCCUAACACAUGCAAGUCGAACGAGACCUUCGGGUCUAGGGGCGCACGGGUUCGUAACGCGUGGGAACCUGCCCUUAGGGUCGGAAUAACUCCCCGAAAGGGGUGCUAAUACCGGAUAAUGUCUUCGGACCAAAGAUUUAUCGCCUUUGGAUGGGCCCGCGUGGGAUUAGCUAGUGGGUAGGGUAAAAGCCUACCAAGGCGACGAUCCAUAGCUGGUCUGAGAGGAUGAUCAGCCACACUGGGACUGAGACACGGCCCAGACUCCUACGGGAGGCAGCAGUGGGGAAUAUUGGACAAUGGGCGGAAGCCUGAUCCAGCAAUGCCGCGUGAGUGAUGAAGGCCUUAGGGUUGUAAAGCUCUUUUACCCGGGAUGAUAAUGACAGUACCGGGAGAAUAAGCCCCGGCUAACUCCGUG
rnacentral:rRNA from 1 species